rfam:Danio rerio chromosome 4, GRCz11 reference primary assembly.
GGCUUGUUGGUCUAGGGAUAUGAUUCUCGCUUAAGGUGCGAGAGCUCCUGGGUUCAAAUCCUGGAUGAACCC